GACGAACGCUGGCGGCGUGCUUAACACAUGCAAGUCGAGCGGUAAGGCCCUUUCGGGGGUACACGAGCGGCGAACGGGUGAGUAACACGUGGGUGACCUGCCCUUAGCUCUGGGAUAAGCCUGGGAAACUGGGUCUAAUACCGGAUAUGACCUCAUGACGCAUGUUGUGGGGUGGAAAGCCUUGUGCGGCUAGGGAUGGACCCGCGGCCUAUCAGCUUGUUGGUGGGGUAAUGGCCACCAAGCCGGUGACGGGUAGCUGGUCUGUGAGGACAGACAGCCAGACUGGGACUGAGACACGGCCCAGACUCCUACGGGAGGCAGCAGCAAGGAAUUUUCGUCAAUGGGCGCAAGCCUGAACGAGCAACGCCGCGUGGAGAUGACGGCCUGGUGUAAC
rnacentral:rRNA from 1 species